AUCCAGCUGAUGAAUCUCAAACCGGGCGAAACGCGCGUCCUGGAU
rnacentral:hammerhead_ribozyme from 1 species